CACGGCGUGCGCAUGCGCCAAGCGGGAGCCACGGCGAGAGCGCCUGGGAGAUGUAGUUCCCGGGGCUUGAAGGCCUGCCACCUCCCCCGGUCCUGGAGAAGAUAUGGAUAAACACCCCAAAAUGUGAUCUCUGUCCGGCUGGAGCGUCCAGUCCCCCGAAGAGCUACUGUAGACCUCCUCCAGAACUAUACAUCCCACAAACCCCUGCGGCUCGGGUCACCGCCCAGCUACGGACACCCGGCGGAGCCAAAAACUACCUGGGCGGCCGGAACGCCUGGCCUGGUAGCAAGAGCCAGACCAUUUGAAUCACGUCUUCUUUCGGAGCCAAGUGCUUUGAGUACUAUCCUGGGAGUCUUGCUCCAGGCGGAGAGGACGGUCGAGGGCCAGGAGCACCUGGGGACAAUGACAGCUAGCGCUGGAGCCCGCCAGGCUGCGAGUCGAAUCAUAUUCCCGGCAGCCAAUCCGGAGGACUGAGAGGCCUGGUGGGCCCGCCUUUUGGACGUGACGUCAUUUCCCCCGCAACCGGAAGCUCCAGGCCUUAGCAACCGAUCCUGGCCGAAUCAAACCGAGCUUGGCUGGGUCCGACUGGCCCGAUUAUUGAGACUGGAAGCCUGAAGACUGGGCAACUGGGGUCCCUAGGGGGAGCGAGGGAAUGCGGAGCUGGUGGUGAAGGAGAGCGGUAGCAGUCCUUUCCUUUUGUCUGAGGCCUCAGGCCCACCUGUGCUGUUCUCCUUCCUCCCGGUGUUCGAGCUCCGAGCCAGAGCCGCGCAGCCCGCUCCUUCGCCGGUUCAGCGCAAGGUGCUGCAAGAGAAAUCCUCAAGCUUCUUUCCUCCAACUGCCUAUCUUCCUUUGCGGGGUCACCUGAAGCUUCUCUUCCCUCGAUUUUUGGAAAAGGCAGGACAUCUGGAAUGAGUAACGAAAAGUUUAAUUACACCGUAGUCCCUGGACAAAGUUGGCUGAUUUGUAUUGUGUGCCUUAACUGAGAGGGCCACUCUGAUGACCCUUCAAAGAUCAACUUCUCUCAGUUAAAAGAAACUGUAGUGUGCUACAAAUGUAUUGUUUUGUAAUGUUCUCUUAUUUUGCGUGUCGAUUUCAGUUCUGACAGACUCUACAAGGCAGAGGCCUUGUCUCUAUUUUUUUUGUGUCAUCUCCUUCAUUCAUUCAUUCAACAAGUACUUAUGAGGACCUGCUAUGUUCCAGGCAGCAUGCUAGGAAAUGGGGAUACAUAAAUGAAUGAAACUGACACAGUCUCUGCUUUCAUGGAACUUCUAGUCUGGCCAAGGGAAUACUAAUUACAGUGGCAUGAAGAAGGGUGAGAUGCUAUGAGAGCGGAUGAAGGAUUAGGAGACAUUUUUGCUGCCAAAGAAUGAAUUAGAACUGAAUCUCAAUUCUAUAUAGACCCCAUAUUGAAAACUAUUCAAUUAAGUGGUUGACUUUGUCUCUUCAGGUGAUCCCUUGUCACCACUGUGACUAUAAAAAUACACAUCAGGCUCCCGGCAUGGAACCUGCUUCUCCCUCCUCCCGUGUCUCUCUCUCUCUCUUUCUCUAUGUCUAUCAUGAACAAACAA